UGGACCAACUGAUGCUCCUCGUUUGCUCGUCGACGGUCUGCUGCCAUUGAACCACUGCGCUUUGUUACAGUUCGUCCAUCAGGAUACCAUCUGGGAUGAUGACCUUCAGGAAAUCCCAAGUUGGCCUUUCAUAUUUGCGAAAGGUGGUGGUUUCCUGACAGCGAAGUACUUCACAGUUUGCAUUGACAACGUUCCUCUUAUGCAAGCAUGCAGUCCUAGAGACGCGUUCAAGAUAUUAUUCCUGGCACACUUUGCGUCAACGUUGCCUACCCAAAAGAGGCAAGUCUUACCCUGGAGUUCACACAU